GGAUUUUUUUUGGGAAGGACGAUUUUGGGGAUUGGAGCGGGGGACGGGGGAGUUAAGGGUGGGGUUACCUGCCUUUUUACCGGGGGAUAACCAGUUGGAACGGCUUGGUUAUUCCGGCAUAAGCGCACAGGAUUCGCAUGGUUUGGUGUGAAAAACUCUGGUGGUAUAAGAUGGACCCGCGUCUGAUUAGCUAGUUGGUGGGGUACGGCCCUACCAAGGCAACGAUCAGUAGCCGACCUGAGAGGGUGACCGGCCACAUUGGGACUGAGACACGGCCCAAACUCCUACAGGGGGCAGCAGUGGGGAAUAUUGCACAAUGGGCGAAAGCCUGAUGCAGCGACGCCGCGUGAGCGAAGAAGUAUUUCGGUAUGUAAACCGCUUUCAGCAGGGACGAGGCCGCAAGGUGACGGUACCUGCAGAAGAAGCCCCGGCUAACUACGUGCCAGCAGCCGCGGUAAUACGUAGGGGGCGAGCGUUAUCCGGAUUCAUUGGGCGUAAAGCGCGCGUAGGCGGCCUGCUAGGUCGGGACUCAAAUCCGGGGGCUCAACCCCCGCCCGGUCCCGAUACCGACAGGCUUGAGUCUGGUAGGGGAAGGCGGAACUCCAAGUGUAGCGGUGGAAUGCGCAGAUAUUUGGAAGAACACCGGUGGCGAAGGCGGCCUUCUGGGCCACGACUGACGCUGAGGCGCGAAAGCUAGGGGAGCGAACAGGAUUAGAUACCCUGGUAGUCCUAGCCGUAAACGAUGGACACUAGGUGUGGGGGGAUGUGCCCUCCGUGCCGCAGCCAACGCA
rnacentral:rRNA from 1 species